GCAUCAGUGGUUUAGUGGUAAAAUCCAUCGUUGCCAGCUUCGCAAGAAAUCAACUUCGAUGGGCCCCGCGUUCGAUUCGCGGCUGAUGCA